rnacentral:rRNA from 1 species
UACAGAGGGUGCGAGCGUUAAUCGGAAUUACUGGGCGUAAAGCGCGCGUAGGCGGCUUUGCAAGUCGGGUGUGAAAGCCCCGGGCUCAACCUGGGAAUUGCAUUCGAGACUGCAUUGCUGGAGUACGGAAGAGGAGGGCGGAAUUCCCGGUGUAGCGGUGAAAUGCGUAGAUAUCGGGAGGAACAUCAGUGGCGAAGGCGGCCCCCUGGUCCAGUACUGACACUCAAGUGCGAAAGCGUGGGGAGCAAACAGG